UAGGGCAGCCCAAACACCACAAAAACUCAUAAAAAUAUGAAACCUCGGGCAGCCUGCCCGUUUUCUCUCUCUUAUAAAAUCAACAAUAGCUACAUUAUGCUGUCCACCCACUACAACUAAUAAUAACUGUCAUACAAAAAAAGCUUUGAAAAUUUUAAUCUUUUGGCAAUGGAAGCAUUGAGGAUGAAGAUUUUCUUGGCUUUGAUGGUAGCCAUUGUUGUUAUGGCAGCAACAAGUGUUUCAGCUGCUGAAGCACCAGCUCCAAGCCCUGCAUCUGAUGCUACAACUCUUUUUGUGCCAACUGUUUUUGGUUCUCUCAUUGCUCUUGUGUUUGGGUUUCUCUUCUGAAUUCUCAACGUGGUUUAGUUUUUUAAUUAUGUAAAAUGGGAGUUUGAUUUGUGCAGAGGUUGUUUUCUUUUGUCUCAUUUUAUGAGAUAAACAUUUGAUUGUUGUUAUUCUAUGUCAUAUUGAACAUUACCUAUACUCUUUGGUCUGUGUGACUUCCUUUACUAUCGAUGAGAAACAGUUAUCUCUGAUGAAUUUUUAAUGGAAAUUAAUUUAUUUUUUGUUAUCUCUGAUGAAUUUUUAUUGGAAAUUAAUUUAUUUUUUUAUCGAGGUUGGCAAAAGGAGUGACAUAGAGUAGUGAGGGAAUAUAAGAUUUCUUUUCCUUGUUGUUUGCAUUACAUCCUCUAUGGUUUUUUUUUUGCAGUUAUUAAAUAAAAUGAUUGUUUGAUAAAAAUAACUGAACUAAGGCAUGGAUAAUCCACUUCUCCUGAUCCACUCAUAAUUGAUUUAAAUUGUGAUUUUCAUUAUGGUGAUUGUGGUCCUUAUAAGUCUUAUAACUGUUGUUCAGGUUGCAGUCGUUUCAAAUCUGAUGUGUGAUUAAAUUUUUUUAAAUUUGAUGUAGUCCACAUAUAAUCCGAUAUGAUUAUAUUGUCAUCAAUGUAAUGUGGCAAUGUAAUUGUGAUUCAUUAUCAUCCAAAAUUAUGGGGUGAUGCCAUAGUGGACAUUAUCACAACAACAAUAUACCAAGGUUUGAUUUUUUAGAAUACAAUUAUUAGAAGAGGCAAAGGUGAAUGACAUCUAUAAAAAGUUUGUUUUUCUUCAAAUAAAUAAAUUAACUUCUUAAAUAGGUUUUUAGCAUAAUGAUGUUGAAGUUCCAACAAAAUAGUUUUAUGAUUUGUUUCUCGAUCAAAUCAUCUAAUGCGGAUUAGGCUAAGUUGUUAAAUAGAUGGAUUUCUAGGAAUUGGUCUCUAUUGUGUAUGAUUUCUAUUUUUUGGAUAUGUAUUUCAAUAAUAUUUUGGUCUUGUAAGGCAUUAGUCUUCAUUUGUCAGCUAAUGUUUGACAAUAUAUGAAAUCAUCUCAUAAUUUUCGGUAUUAUUUAAAUAAAAAAUGAAACCGGAACGUUUAAUAUUUUCCUUAUUUAAUAAGUUGAGAUUUAAAAGGAAGUUAACGACUGGAUUCGCAAUUUAAUUUGAUCCGUUUUAAUAUAAUUAGCAGUUUCAAAUUCAAAAUUUUGAAAAUGUAGUCGCUUUAUGAUCGGGAUAACGUUGUCAUCUAUAAUGAAACUACCUAAUUCAAGUAGAGAGAUAAAUCUUAUAUGUCUAAAAAAUAAAGAUGUUUGUCAUUACAUAUUAGUUUAUUAAAAGGAGUAAUUUGUAAACUAUUAGUUAGUUGAAUCCAUGUGAACUGAUCACCAGUCUUUAAACGUGGUAAUCGGCUAUCACUUUGGCAUUUUUUAGAAGUCGUUAAGUUAAUGUAUGUCUUCUAUAUAGAAGUUGUGAUACCCUUUAACAACUUCUAGUUUUGGUGGCGUUUUCCCCAGGAGUUUUGUAGUUCUUUCAUGACUUUUAGGGGUUUUUAUAUUAUGCAGAAGAAGUCGUUAUGUUAAUGUACAACUUAUGUAUAGAAGUCAUGAUAGCAUUUUUUAGAAGUCGUUAAGUUAUGAUAGCCUUUAACGACUUGUGGGUGUGAUUUUUUAUAUAUGUAGCACGACUUCUAAGUGUAAAUUUAUUUUAUUGUAUGGACAUUGUACGACCCUUUCACGACUUCUUAGGGUGAUGUUGUGAAGC
rnacentral:lncRNA from 1 species